UACUUCUGCAACACCGUGUUGGGCUGGCCCUUCUCGACCAUGUCGAUGACCAGCAGUUUCACCGGCACCUUGCCCUUGUUGGCGCCGAAGUGCCACUGAUCGACCGCCUCGAGGAUGAAGUCGCCGGUCUUGAAGGUCUGCGUCUUGCCGGUGUCGAGAUUGGUGACCGCGAUGGUGCCCGCCUGCACAUAGGCAUAACGCGGAAACGGAUGCUUGUGUUUCGGCAGCACCGCGCCCCGCGGAAUCUCGUAGGUCGAAACGAUGACCUGCGCAUCCUUUUGCGGCAGCACGAUCGGCUGGCCCCCCCCCCGCCUGGUGGCGGACAUCACCGGCUUGACCACGACCUUGCUGGUUGCNNNNNNNNNNNGCGGCGAUACGGCCAGCAUCAGGCCGAGCGCGAACGGAAGAGACUUCAUCGCAUCAAACUC
rnacentral:misc_RNA from 1 species